AUGGGUGUGGCCUAAGGAAGGCCCUUGUAUUCAUGUAAGGAGAUCCAGGUUCAAAUCCUAGCACCUAUC
rfam:Picea glauca, whole genome shotgun sequence.